rnacentral:snRNA from 1 species
GUGGCGCCUCGGCCUUUUGGCUAAGAUCAAAGUGUAGUAUCUGUUCUUAUCAGCUUAAUCUAGCGAGUACAGACAGACAGACACACAUUCAUUUUAUAUACGUAUAUAGAUAAAAUUCUAAGUAGUUAAUUCAAAGCGAUGUGAUAAUUGCCUUGAUAGAUAUUCUAAUAAUGUAUUAGGGGUAUAUGUUGUCUGGUUGCU